GCUCAACUGGGAAACUGCCUUUGAUACUGGCAGGCUUGAGUGUUGUUGAAGUGGCUGGAAUUCCUAGUGUAGCGGUGAAAUGCAUAGAUAUUACUUGGAAUACCGGUGGCGAAGGCGGGUUACUGGAAACAACUGACGCUGAUGGACGAAAGCGUGGGGAGCGAACAGGAUUAGAUACCCUGGUAGUCCACGCCGUAAACGAUGCUAACUCGUUUUUGGAGCGCAUGCUUCAUAGACUAAGCGAAAGUGAUAAGUUAUCCACCUGGGGAGUACGAACGCAAGUUUGAAACUCAAAGGAAUUGACGGGGGCCCGCACAAGCGGUGGAUUAUGUGGUUUAAUUCUAUGAUACGCCAGGAACCUUACCACGGCUUAAAUGGGAAAUGACAGGUUUACAAAUAUACUUUUCUUCCGACAUUUUUCAAGGUGCUGCAUGGUUGUCGUCUGCUCGUGCCGUGAGGUGUUAGGUUAAGUCCUGCUCCAGCGCAACCCCUGUCACUAGUUGCCAUCAUUAAGUUGGGGACUCUAGUGACACUGCCUACUCAAGUAGAUAGGAUGGUGGGGAUGACGUCAAAUCAUCACGGCCCUUACGCCUUGGGCCACACGCGUAAUACAAUGGCCGGUACAGAGGGCAACUACACUGCGAAAGUGAUGCAAAUCUCGAAAGCCGGUCUCAAUUCGGAAUGGAGUCUGCAACUCACUCUAUGACUCUGGAAUCUCUGGUAAUCUCGCAUCAGCCAUGGCGCGAUGAAU
rnacentral:rRNA from 1 species